AUGAAGGACGUUACUAACGACGAUAUGCUUUGGGGAGCUGUAAGUAAGCUUUGAUCCAGAGAUUUCCGAAUGGGGAAACCCAGCAUGAGUUAUGUCAUGUUAUCGAUAUGUGAAUACAUAGCAUAUCAGAAGGCACACCCGGAGAACUGAAACAUCUUAGUACCCGGAGGAAGAGAAAGAAAAUUCGAUUCCCUUAGUAGCGGCGAGCGAAACGGGAAGAGCCCAAACCAACAAGCUUGCUUGUUGGGGUUGUAGGACACUCUAUACGGAGUUACAAAGGACGACAUUAGACGAAUCAUCUGGAAAGAUGAAUCAAAGAAGGUAAUAAUCCUGUAGUCGAAAAUGUUGUCUCUCUUGAGUGGAUCCUGAGUACGACGGAGCACGUGAAAUUCCGUCGGAAUCUGGGAGGACCAUCUCCUAAGGCUAAAUACUCUCUAGUGACCGAUAGUGAACCAGUACCGUGAGGGAAAGGUGAAAAGCACCCCGGAAGGGGAGUGAAAUAGAACCUGAAACCGUGUGCUUACAAGUAGUCAGAGCCCGUUAAUGGGUGAUGGCGUGCCUUUUGUAGAAUGAACCGGCGAGUUACGAUUUGAUGCAAGGUUAAGCAGUAAAUGUGGAGCCGUAGCGAAAGCGAGUCUGAAUAGGGCGUUUAGUAUUUGGUCGUAGACCCGAAACCAGGUGAUCUACCCUUGGUCAGGUUGAAGUUCAGGUAACACUGAAUGGAGGACCGAACCGACUUACGUUGAAAAGUGAGCGGAUGAACUGAGGGUAGCGGAGAAAUUCCAAUCGAACCUGGAGAUAGCUGGUUCUCUCCGAAAUAGCUUUAGGGCUAGCCUCAAGUGAUGAUUAUUGGAGGUAGAGCACUGUUUGGACGAGGGGCCCCUCUCGGGUUACCGAAUUCAGACAAACUCCGAAUGCCAAUUAAUUUAACUUGGGAGUCAGAACAUGGGUGAUAAGGUCCGUGUUCGAAAGGGAAACAGCCCAGACCACCAGCUAAGGUCCCAAAAUAUAUGUUAAGUGGAAAAGGAUGUGGCGUUGCCCAGACAACUAGGAUGUUGGCUUAGAAGCAGCCAUCAUUUAAAGAGUGCGUAAUAGCUCACUAGUCGAGUGACACUGCGCCGAAAAUGUACCGGGGCUAAACAUAUUACCGAAGCUGUGGAUUGUCCUUUGGACAAUGGUAGGAGAGCGUUCUAAGGGCGUUGAAGCAUGAUCGUAAGGACAUGUGGAGCGCUUAGAAGUGAGAAUGCCGGUGUGAGUAGCGAAAGACGGGUGAGAAUCCCGUCCACCGAUUGACUAAGGUUUCCAGAGGAAGGCUCGUCCGCUCUGGGUUAGUCGGGUCCUAAGCUGAGGCCGACAGGCGUAGGCGAUGGAUAACAGGUUGAUAUUCCUGUACCACCUAUAAUCGUUUUAAUCGAUGGGGGGACGCAGUAGGAUAGGCGAAGCGUGCGAUUGGAUUGCACGUCUAAGCAGUAAGGCUGAGUAUUAGGCAAAUCCGGUACUCGUUAAGGCUGAGCUGUGAUGGGGAGAAGACAUUGUGUCUUCGAGUCGUUGAUUUCACACUGCCGAGAAAAGCCUCUAGAUAGAAAAUAGGUGCCCGUACCGCAAACCGACACAGGUAGUCAAGAUGAGAAUUCUAAGGUGAGCGAGCGAACUCUCGUUAAGGAACUCGGCAAAAUGACCCCGUAACUUCGGGAGAAGGGGUGCUCUUUAGGGUUAACGCCCAGAAGAGCCGCAGUGAAUAGGCCCAAGCGACUGUUUAUCAAAAACACAGGUCUCUGCUAAACCGUAAGGUGAUGUAUAGGGGCUGACGCCUGCCCGGUGCUGGAAGGUUAAGAGGAGUGGUUAGCUUCUGCGAAGCUACGAAUCGAAGCCCCAGUAAACGGCGGCCGUAACUAUAACGGUCCUAAGGUAGCGAAAUUCCUUGUCGGGUAAGUUCCGACCCGCACGAAAGGCGUAACGAUUUGGGCACUGUCUCAACGAGAGACUCGGUGAAAUCAUAGUACCUGUGAAGAUGCAGGUUACCCGCGACAGGACGGAAAGACCCCGUGGAGCUUUACUGUAGCCUGAUAUUGAAAUUCGGCACAGCUUGUACAGGAUAGGUAGGAGCCUUUGAAACGUGAGCGCUAGCUUACGUGGAGGCGCUGGUGGGAUACUACCCUAGCUGUGUUGGCUUUCUAACCCGCACCACUUAUCGUGGUGGGAGACAGUGUCAGGCGGGCAGUUUGACUGGGGCGGUCGCCUCCUAAAAGGUAACGGAGGCGCUCAAAGGUUCCCUCAGAAUGGUUGGAAAUCAUUCAUAGAGUGUAAAGGCAUAAGGGAGCUUGACUGCGAGACCUACAAGUCGAGCAGGGUCGAAAGACGGACUUAGUGAUCCGGUGGUUCCGCAUGGAAGGGCCAUCGCUCAACGGAUAAAAGCUACCCCGGGGAUAACAGGCUUAUCUCCCCCAAGAGUUCACAUCGACGGGGAGGUUUGGCACCUCGAUGUCGGCUCAUCGCAUCCUGGGGCUGUAGUCGGUCCCAAGGGUUGGGCUGUUCGCCCAUUAAAGCGGUACGCGAGCUGGGUUCAGAACGUCGUGAGACAGUUCGGUCCCUAUCCGUCGUGGGCGUAGGAAAUUUGAGAGGAGCUGUCCUUAGUACGAGAGGACCGGGAUGGACAUACCUCUGGUGUACCAGUUGUCGUGCCAACGGCAUAGCUGGGUAGCUAUGUGUGGACGGGAUAAGUGCUGAAAGCAUCUAAGCAUGAAGCCCCCCUCAAGAUGAGAUUUCCCAACUUCGGUUAUAAGAUCCCUCAAAGAUGAUGAGGUUAAUAGGUUCGAGGUGGAAGCAUGGUGACAUGUGGAGCUGACGAAUACUAAUCGAUCGAAGACUUAAUC
rnacentral:rRNA from 1 species